rnacentral:lncRNA from 1 species
GGCUCCCCCACAGUGCAGGGCGGCCCCUCUGUUCCAGCCUCUCAGGGAACCAGCUGGAAGACGAAGGCUGCCGACUCCUGGCUGAGGCUGCUUCCCGCCUGCACAUUGCCAGGAAGCUGGAGUGAGUUGCCACCCACCCCUGGGUGACAGGAGCGUCCUGGAGAGCCCCCAGAAGGUCCCUGCCACCCCUGGUCCCUGUGCCACAGUCAGUAGUAAUGCUGCUAAUGCACCCGCCACCUCACUUUCUCCCAACUCCAGCCUUGCCUGGCUGAGCCACCAUCUCCACGCCAGCCAUUUAACCCCUUGCGCUUGGAGAGUGCGCUCACGGUCAUCGUCGGUGGCUUGUGGACCUGUUUGUCCUUUCAGUAGCACCGGAGUAGGGGGCAAAGGGGUUGCAGUGGGGCAGAACUGAGGCUUUGGGUGGACGGGUGCCAGAGUGACGGAUUAAGUAGGAGGUGGUGCCUUCGUUUGGGCUCGUCUGGGGGUGAAGGGGUGGGGUGCUGGGUGUUGAGAUGGG